GUCUCCCACACCCACUUCACUAUCCACUCAUGCGGACUAGCCCAGCCUUGAUCACCAGUGGAAUCAAGACAUGACGAGACCACGCAACACGCACCUGGAAACCAUUGAGGGGGCGAGCAGGAGGUGGACUGGCUGCCUCCACAGGUGCACCUACAAGUGAGAAGGAUUUGAUGAAUUUGGAAAGAACACAGUGCUAUGAUGGCAUGUCUUAUGGUUUGAUGUGGACACCCCCAGCCCUCCACAUGGACUCUCUGUUCGGGCACCCCGGAAUUCAGUUGCAGUAACCUCAUUGUAACCGGAGAUCCCACCUGCAAUCUGCUAGCAAGAUGCCUAAAGAAACAAGAAUCUCCGGUGUACUUUAUACUCAAUGACAUUAGGUGCUUUUUGUCACUGGAAGAGCACAGAAGUCACAAAUGCAUAAAUAUAGUAUAGAUGUAGUAGUGCUAAUGUACGGAGCCCCUCGAGUGGUAGGGUAUAAGAAAAAAAAAAAAGCUAAUCUGUUCCCUCAAUUUACUCAUGUGGACCCACAAUUUUGUAUCCUGUUCCCACGGCAUACUAAUCUGUACCCUCAAUUAGAAAUCCAUUCCCACAUUUUACUAAUAGGUUU